rnacentral:tRNA from 1 species
GUCGCAUUGGUGAAACUGGCUAACACACUCGGCUUUCUACCGAGCAUUCACGAGUUCGAAUCUCGUAUGCGAUA